rnacentral:rRNA from 1 species
AUUGAACGCUGGCGGCAUGCUUUACACAUGCAAGUCGAACGGUAACAGGCCGCAAGGUGCUGACGAGUGGCGAACGGGUGAGUAAUGCAUCGGAACGUGCCCAGUCGUGGGGGAUAACUACUCGAAAGAGUAGCUAAUACCGCAUACGAUCUAUGGAUGAAAGCGGGGGACGGUAGGGCUUCGCGCGAUUGGAGCGGCCGAUGUCAGAUUAGGUAGUUGGUGGGGUAAAGGCUCACCAAGCCAACGAUCUGUAGCUGGUCUGAGAGGACAACAAGCCACACUGGGACUGAGACACGGCCCAGACUCCUACGGGAGGCAGCAGUGGGGAAUUUUGGACAAUGGGCGCAAGCCUGAUCCAGCAAUGCCGCGUGCAGGAAGAAGGCCUUCGGGUUGUAAACUGCUUUUGUACGGAACGAAACGGCUCUGGUUAAUACCCGGGGCUAAUGACGGUACCGUAAGAAUAAGCACCGGCUAACUACGUG